AUGGCCUCUGGGGAGGACGGGAAGGCGGCUGUCGUGCUCGCGCCGGAGGAUGGAGGCCGCCUCGCCUGGACGCGUGCUCGGCUGAGGGGUGACGCCCUUGUCAGCGGCGGAGAUGGCUAUGGCCGCAGCGGAGGACGAGGGGGAGGCACUGGUGACGACGAGGAAGGCGGGAGCACGGUUUCCCGGGCAGAUCCAUGGCAGCGGCGGCUUCUGGGCAGGAAGGGAGGUGAGGGAGAGAAGAAGGCAGAAAAUAGGAGCGGUGCCGCGACCGAGGCAGGAGCUCGUCGGAGCUGGGUGACGGCGGACGGGCGCAGGAGUGCGAGGGCGCUGGUCUCGCGCGCGAGGAGCGCCUCUCCUCGGGCGGAUCGGGAGGGAGCGAGGGAGGGAAACUCGAGAGCAAGCUCCCGCUUGGGCGGCUGCGCUGGUUGGUUCGGCGCACAAACGCCCACCUUGGCCGUCUCCGAUGGCUCAUCGCCGCCGCGGAUGUCAUGGACUCCGACCACGGGGAGCUCGCACGCCCUGCAGCGGCUGGAACUGGCUGAUGGUCGUCCCGCAUCCUCGACUUCAUCCUUUCCCGAGCCCUCCUCCAUCCAUGACCUCUGUAAUCUGCCAUAA
rnacentral:rRNA from 1 species